CAUAUUGAUGGAUUUGUACCAUAAUUUAUCUUUACUUGUAGAAAUACUAUCUUUUCUCUCUCUUCAGCUUCCAUCUCUUCCCUCUUGUUCACAUCCAAACCCUAAUCCUAGCCGCCGUCUAUCAUACCCAUCUUAAAUCCUCUUCUCAUGUUCAUCUUCUCCAAUAUGUCACAAUGUUUUCCAUUUCCAAUUCGUUUCCAUUGAUUUCUUAUUCUUUCAUAUUCUAUUUCACUUACACCAUUCUUAAUCAUUCAAUAUCUUUCUAUUCUUCUUUUGUUUAUGUUCCAGAAGAAUUGAAGGACAAUAGUUGCAUCUUUAUUCUUUUUGAACAAAAGGUUAUUGAUUUAAAGGUUGCCGAGACUUGAGACUUAAGAGGUUGUUGGUGGCUUAUUGAAGAACUAAUAAAUGUAUUUGUUUUGUUAUUAUUUUGAUAUAAAUGUAAUAAUUUAUGUUAUUUUUGAAGUUAUUGGAUGUGAGAUAUGCACUUUUGAAUUGGGCCAAAAAUAAAAUAUUGUAAUAUAUUGACUUAAAAUUAGUGAAAGAAAUUUAAGAAAAAAGCUAAACAAAUUAUUGGGCUUAAAAUUGGAAGUAACCCAAUAACCCGAAAUGCCCGUUCGAAUGCACCCGCAACCCGUUUUAAACCAACCCGUCAAAACUAAUACAAAUUUUGGGCGGAAUUGGGCCUGUUUUCUCCAACCGUGGGUUGGGCUGGGUGGUGGUUUUGGGCCCGAAACCGCCCAACCCGGCCCGUUGUCCACCCCUAAACACACCUAUGUAUACUUUUUUAAAAGAAGGUUCCUUCGUUGACAAAACAAAAUUCAAUUUCCUAAAUUUCUUUUUAAUUAUCGUUCACAAAAAUGAAAACAAACCUUUUUAACACCAUUUUCUAAAAACCAAUUCUAUUAAAAUGUUUGUGUAAAAAAAACUAUUAAAAUGUAAAAUAAUUAUUAAAAAAAUGGAUACAUGUUUGUUUUUAUUUUUUUUGGAAAUAAAAGAAUAUAUUAUAUUUCAAAAGAACAAUUACAAAGCAUAGCGAUCGACAACGAUCCAGCUCCUAACAAACAAGGAAACUAAUUACAUCAUGAGUAAAGCAAGUUUGCUCC